GAUCCGAUCAAUUUAUUGGUUCCAUUCCCCUAUUCUACACUUCUCCUAAGAAAAAAUGCCUUGCAAUGCGUCCUAAUUAUCUGGACUACUAACUUACUUCCAUAUAACUUCGAAAACAGACAAUAAUCUAUUUCACUGGAUGAGAUUGGGCUCACGGAUUUUUUAAUGGAUUGGACAAGAAAUAUAGAAAAAUAAUGAAAAAUAUAAACAGUUACAAUAGAAAUGAGCGCAAAACAAGAUAAACAGAAUAUAACAAGGCCUAAAUGGUCAGAUAUCUUGGUUUUUAUGAUCAUCAACAGGUCCUGCAGGUCUAUACUGAAGAGGAAUUUUAAUUGUUAAUACCUUUCUACAUAAUGU